GACGAACGCUGGCGGCGUGCUUAACACAUGCAAGUCGAACGGAAAGGCCCUGCUUUUGUGGGGUGCUCGAGUGGCGAACGGGUGAGUAACACGUGAGUAACCUGCCCUUGACUUUGGGAUAACUUCAGGAAACUGGGGCUAAUACCGGAUAGGAGCUCCUGCUGCAUGGUGGGGGUUGGAAAGUUUCGGCGGUUGGGGAUGGACUCGCGGCUUAUCAGCUUGUUGGUGGGGUAGUGGCUUACCAAGGCAUGGACGGGUAGCCGGCCUGAGAGGGUGACCGGCCACAUAGGGACUGGGGUACGGCCCAGGCUCAUACGGGAGGCAGGAGUGGAGAAUAUUGCACAAUGGGCGGAAGCCGGAUGCAGGAACGCCGCGUGCGAGAUGACGGCCUUCGGGUUGUAAACCGCUUUCGCCUGUGACGAAGCGUGAGUGACGGUAAUGGGGAAAGAGGCACCGGCAAACUACGG
rnacentral:rRNA from 1 species